rnacentral:rRNA from 1 species
GUGGGGAAUAUUGGACAAUGGGGGGAACCCUGAUCCAGCCAUGCCGCGUGUGUGAAGAAGGCAUUUUGGUUGUAAAGCACUUUAAGCGAGGAGGAGGCUUACCUGGUUAAUACCUGGGAUAAGUGGACGUUACUCGCAGAAUAAGCACCGGCUAACUCUGUGCCAGCAGCCGCGGUAAUACAGAGGGUGCGAGCGUUAAUCGGAUUUACUGGGCGUAAAGCGCGCGUAGGUGGUUAAUUAAGUCAAAUGUGAAAUCCCCGAGCUUAACUUGGGAAUUGCAUUCGAUACUGGUUAGCUAGAGUAUGGGAGAGGAUGGUAGAAUUCCAGGUGUAGCGGUGAAAUGCGUAGAGAUCUGGAGGAAUACCGAUGGCGAAGGCAGCCAUCUGGCCUAAUACUGACACUGAGGUGCGAAAGCAUGGGGAGCAAACAGGAUUAGAAACCCGAGUAGUCC